CAUGUAGGCGGAUAUGGAAGUCAGAUGUGAAAGCCCUUGGCUCAACCAAGGAAGUGCAUCUGAAACCACAUAUCUUGAGUAUGACAGAGGGAAGUGGAAUUUCCAGUGUAGAGGUGAAAUUCAUAGAUAUUGGAAAGAACACCGGUGGCGAAGGCGGCUUUCUGGGUCAUUACUGACGCUGAGAUGCGAAAGCGUGGGGAGCAAACA
rnacentral:rRNA from 1 species